GGAGAAACCACAGGGACACCGAGGGAAAGGAGGAAGGCAAAAAAGAACAAAGAGUGAUGAGGAAAGGAGGAAGGCGCUUCUCACCUGCCCUCUGAGGCCCAGCAGAGUGGGAAGGGUCCAGAGGAGGGGGCAGGGAGGGUCCCUGAGGAGCAAGGCGCUCCAGAGGAGCGGGGCUGGGAGACAGCGGUGAGGGCAGGGAGGAGCGGGCAGGCCACGGUCCGUGGGAGCGCCAUUCCCCGCUCCUCGCCUUGCCCAGGAGCGCUCCGGAGGGGCAGGGGGAGCGGCUCUCGCCGCUGCCGCCGCCCCCACCGCAGGUGGAGCGGUGCGAACGGUGCGAGCCCCGCUGCCCUUGCCUUGGGACGGGGUCCCUCCACCUCCCCGCUUGUCCCCCGGCCCGGCAGCCUCUCCCGCCCCGUCCCCGUGCGGGUCACUCCGGCCCCGCGCCCGGCGCACAGAGAAGCCGCCGCCGGGGCGAUGCGCCUCCCCGCUCCGCAGGCAGAGCCCCUUCUUCUCUUCCCUUCCCUUCCCAUCCCAUCCCAUCCGAGGAGACAGCGGGAUCUGCCUCCGCUCCCCUCGUCCCUCCCCCUCGGCUUCCUCCCUCUCGCCUUCUUUUUCUUUUCUUUUUUUUUUUUUUCCUUUCUCUCUUUUUUUUUUUUUUCCUUUUUCCAUCCCCUCCCCCGCCUGGGAAGACCUGGUCGCUCCCCCCGCCCCGUGCUCAGUAGCCGCGGGCGCUGGGCGGCGGACGAGCGGCGCGGAGCGGGGAGCCGGGAGCCGGAGCCCCGGGGCUGCCGCCGCCCUCCCCUCCGUCCGUCCUGCGGGCUGCCAGGGCCUAAAAACUGGAUUUAAAAUUGUGUAAGCUGAGUUUGAAAUGUGUCGCCUUUCCUACAAGAAGAAGGAAACUGCACAGUAGAGGCUGCACUGAGCAGACCAAGAUAAAACACUGUCGGGAAGCUGGACUGAAUUUUUCUUCUGUCUGAGCUACACUGGCAUGUAAAUUUCUUCCCUGAUAGCCUGAAGAGAAACCAGCUCUAGUUUGGCAUGACUAUAAGCCUUUUCCUGAGCAUCUGACAUGUAUUCAGCUGGAGUAAGGUAGGAUGAAAUAUUUGAAGGAUAUCCUCAAAAAUUAGGUAGAUUUUUUCUGUGGAUGCAGAGAGGUUUAAUGUUGGAAGCAAGAAAUGACAAGAGCUAAAAAUAGUUUUACUUGUAUGGAUACGCCUGGCAGCUGGAAUGCCACCAAAGUUAUCAGCUGAGUUUGGAAACUGCAGGAAGAAUUUCAGCAUUUUCAUAUAGCUGGGGAUCUCUCUCUUUCUGGUUUCCAUCUUGUCUUCUCUCAAGUAAUUCACCAUACCUUAAAGAGCUGACUCAAGAAUUCCAAUUACUGUAAGGCAACCCAAAAUCUGUAUGGGAAAGUAGUGAAGUAAAGGAGAGGCCAGAGCAUCUUGGGGUGUGGAGGAAGAGUGGAGAACAGGUAAUUGAGGUUUUUUUUCUUGUAAUCAGCUUGAAGCCUUCUCAGGACAAUCCUCCUUCCCCUGGCGGUUGUAUUCUCUCUCCCUUUCUCCCCCCUUGCAAAGUUAUCUUUGCACCAAUCCACACAUUUCCAUCCUCAUCAUGUGGCAAGAGGAGCCCUGUGUUUCCCUUUUGCCAGCAGCCUGUGCUGUGCCAUGGCAGUUGCUGACAUUGCCCGUGCUUGGAGCUGUCCUCCUCUAACAGCAGAGAUGGGGUUAGUAAAGAGAUCUUAAAUGCAUGGCUGGAAAUGACAAAGCUGCCGUGCAGAACCACUGCUCUGGUCUGUAAUGAGAAUUACUGUGUUUAUCAAGUUCCUUGAACUUCUUCCAGUUAUCCUGAAGUGUAGUUAGUUCAUUCACAGUGACAAGUGGUUCAUUAUAAAUGAAGAAAAUCUUGGCUUCCUAGUCUGCCUUUGUAAGUAGUGAGCCCUUGAGUGUCGUGUUUCAAAUUGAGGGCUCCAAGGCAUCUAUGGAAGGUUCUGUGCUCUGACUUUUUGUUUCUUUCUAAAGAGUGGCAGAAGGGAGCCAUAGUACUCCACCCAUUUGCUUGCAGAAAGUCUCUCUAUAAAGCAGAGAGAAAAAAAUUGACUUCUCUAUAAACCUAGUUAUGAGAUCAUCUGGGAAGACAUCAACCCAGACUUUCUAUGUGAACAAGCAGUUAGUGACUGAACUUUCCUUAGGGCUCACAAAGUUCAGCUACAGAGGAAUAUCAAAUAUCUGGACCCUUAUGAAAAGCUGAAAAGGGGAGGAGUAUUCUCGGGAAAAAUAGAAAAAAAUAAUUCUCAAGCCUGAUAUUAGAACUGUCUUGUUCAGCAAUAACUGAACCAACACUUUGAAGGUAACUUUGUAUAUCAAAGUUAAUGUUUAAAUGUGCACAUUUCUGCUAUACCAUUAAGCUACACUGGUGUGAACAACUGGUAUCCCUCUACAAAAUCUUUUGUCUGGAAUGGUUCCCCAGCCCUGCUUUCAAAACUUUCAGAUAUAUUUUCAUAUGACCACAUACACCCCAGAGCUCAGACCUGUGAGUCACUGUAAUCUCCAGAUGUCUUUGGAAAGUCCCCACAUCUUCUCCACAACCUGAGUUAGCUACUUUAAAGCCAGAGAGGGUUUCCUUGUAUUGUAAAAUGUGGUGUAUAUAUAUCCUAGUAAGUGGACUCCAGCUCAAAGUUGGUGUCCCAUUCUGGCAAAAGUGAAAAUGUUAAAACUAUGCUAAAGCAAAUGCAGCCUCUUCUUGGCAUCAGAAGCAACAAGCUGUGGUUGAACUGUAGUGCUGACUUAACAAAAAAAAUAAAUACUUAUAAUAGACAACAAAUAUGUCUAUAGAGUAAAGAUGCCUCAAAAAUCAUAGGAGUCACUGGUCCAUUACACAGCUUUGAAAGCAAUGUUCCCCACUUCUUUUUCCAUAUACUGGCUGUUUCACUGGAGAGCACCACUUCUACUAUUCUAAACUAAAAUUAAGGAAAGUGGUUGUGUUUGCCCUGGCCUACACUGCCAUUGCAAUAUAAACCAGAGAGCUUAACCACAUACAAAUCCUUGAAUUGCUUGGCUUUUAAAGUUUAAUCAUAGACCCUUUCAUUCUUCACUGCUGAGGUUUCCAUGUAAUUGGAAUGAAGGAUGCUGGAACUGAGCACAGGUUUCCCCGUGGCAGCUGCCAGUAGUUGGAUAAUGCCACUGACAUCAAUGCUGCCAAAAGAGAAAAGUGGUCUUUUCAGUAAUGUUUUGAGUUCAGAAUCUAGGAUUCUGGGUUCAGUUUCUGGCUCUGCCUCAGACUUCUAACAAUGUUACAUUUUUCCUGCAUGUUCCCAACUAGAGAUGGGAAUAGUACUGCUUUUUGUCUUUCCCAUUUAAAAUAUUCACUGCUGGUAUGGUGCAUCACCCCAUCUAGGCAGAGCAUUCCACACGUGACCAUAGGGCACCAACAGCACAGUUCCUACAGCCUUUGUGGGAUCCUGAAAAAGUUACUCAUGCAAUGAGUAACCAGACUUGUCCCUCCUACUCAGCUGAGCUUUGCUGCAUGUAAUAUAACCAGGAGACUCCUCUACACCAGCAACAUUCUGCUUUCCUCAUUUGUCUGUCUGUCUUAGAAGACCUUGGUUCCUUGGGAUAGCAGUUAGCAAAGUGCCCUUCCUCAUACGGGCAGAUUCAUACCUCUCCUCUGAGUGGGUAGUGGAGAACCGCUGCUGACUUUUAAGUCAGCUAAAGCCACGUUUUGGCCAUUACAUGAAAGAGCACAAUUAUUCUGUUUUCCCA
ensembl:lncRNA